rnacentral:rRNA from 1 species
UUCUUCGGAGAGUUUGAUCCUGGCUCAGGAUGAACGCUGGCGGCGUGCCUAAUACAUGCAAGUCGAGCGAACUGAUUAGAAGCUUGCUUCUAUGACGUUAGCGGCGGACGGGUGAGUAACACGUGGGCAACCUGCCUGUAAGACUGGGAUAACUUCGGGAAACCGAAGCUAAUACCGGAUAGGAUCUUCUCCUUCAUGGGAGAUGAUUGAAAGAUGGUUUCGG